rnacentral:rRNA from 1 species
CAACUUUCAGCAACGGAUCUCUUGGCUCUCGCAUCGAUGAAGAACGCAGCGAAAUGCGAUAAGUAAUGUGAAUUGCAGAAUUCAGUGAAUCAUCGAAUNUUUGAACGCACCUUGCGCUCCUUGGUAUUCCGAGGAGCAUGCCUGUUUGAGUGUCAUUAA